rnacentral:rRNA from 1 species
AAUUGAAGAGUUUGAUCAUGGCUCAGAUUGAACGCUGGCGGCAGGCCUAACACAUGCAAGUCGAACGGUAGCACAGAGGAGCUUGCUCCUUGGGUGACGAGUGGCGGACGGGUGAGUAAUGUCUGGGAAACUGCNUGAUGGAGGGGGAUAACUACUGGAAACGGUAGCUAAUACCGCAUAACGUCGCAAGACCAAAGAGGGGGACCUUCGGGCCUCUUGCCAUCNNAUGUGCCCAGAUGGGAUUAGCUAGUAGGUGGGGUAACGGCUCACCUAGGCGACGAUCCCUAGCUGGUCUGAGAGGAUGACCAGCCACACUGGAACUGAGACACGGUCNAGACUCCUACGGGAGGCAGCAGUGGGGAAUAUUGCACAAUGGGCGCAAGCCUGAUGCAGCNAUGCNGCGUGUAUGAAGAAGGCCUUCGGGUUGUAAAGUACUUUCAGCGAGGAGGAAGGYGUUGAGGUUAAUAACCUCAGCRAUUGACGUUACUCGCAGAAGAAGCACCGGCUAACUCNNUGCCAGCAGCCNCGGUAAUACGGAGNGUGCAAGCGUUAAUCGGAAUUACUGGGCGUAAAGCGCACGCAGGCGGUCUGUCAAGUCGGAUGUGAAAUCCCCGGGCUCAACCUGGGNACUGCAUCCNNAACUGGCAGGCUAGAGUCUUGUAGAGGGGGGUAGAAUUCCAGGUGUAGCGGUGAAAUGCGUAGAGAUCUGGAGGAAUACCNGUGGCGAAGGCGGCNCCCUGGACAAAGACUGACGCUCAGGUGCNNAAGCGUGGGGAGCAAACAGGAUUAGAUACCCUGGUAGUCCACGCCGUAAACGAUGUCGACUUGGAGGUUGUGCCCUUGAGGCGUGGCUUCCGGAGCUAACGCGUUAAGUCGACCGCCUGGGGAGUACGGCCGCAAGGUUAAAACUCAAAUGAAUUGACGGGGGCCNGCACAAGCGGUGGAGCAUGUGGUUUAAUUCGAUNNAACGCGAAGAACCUUACCUACUCUUGACAUCCAGAGAACUUGGCAGAGAUGCCNUGGUGCCUUCGGGAACUCUGAGACAG